AUGCAUAAUUUACUGCAAGUAAUUCUAAAUCUAUGCUACUUAUAUUACCUUUUUCUUUAUAAUUUCCACUAUUAUAUCUUACUAUUUUUUCAGUAUCUUUAUCUGAAUAUUUGUUGGGUUUUGCAAUAAGUAUUGCUCCCCAUCCUGUUAUACUACCGUCUGUCUCAAUAAUUAAAUAAUCUGUUUCUAAUGGCAUAGAUAAUUUAGGCAAAUCUUUU
rnacentral:lncRNA from 1 species